rnacentral:rRNA from 1 species
UACGGAGGAGCUAGCGUUGUUCGGAAUUACUGGGCGUAAAGCGCACGUAGGCGGCUUUUUAAGUCAGGGGUGAAAUCCCGGGGCUCAACCCCGGAACUGCCCUUGAAACUGGAGAGCUAGAAUCUUGGAGAGGCGAGUGGAAUUCCGAGUGUAGAGGUGAAAUUCGUAGAUAUUCGGAAGAACACCAGUGGCGAAGGCGACUCGCUGGACAAGUAUUGACGCUGAGGUGCGAAAGCGUGGGGAGCAAACAGG